UAUUUAAAAAAAUGUACAGACAUUUCUAAAAUUGAUUAUAGGAUUAUGGGUUACUGAGUGUAGAUUAUUAAGAAAAAAUACCAGUUUACCCAAAACCUCCAGAUGACUCAGGGAGAUUAAGUGAAAGUAGAUGUUUGCCGAAUAUAAAAACUCCUGACGUACCUUUUCAGGAGCUGACUCUGAGCUGAAGGCAUCAUAGGAGAGAAAACUUGUUUGAAUCAAUACUUUACCUCUGUCAUGUGGCAUUAAUUAUUGAUAGAUGGAUGGUUGGAUGGAUGGAUAGAUAGAUGGAUGGAUGGUGUAAAUGUCUCAGGAGGAUUUUUUUUUCUUCAAUGAUAAUAUAUCUAUUUUGUUGCAGUAGAUAUGGGUGGAAGCUGCAGUAGAAGACAGUGGGUCCUUCUGGUAUCAGGUUCUAAAGGCUGGGAAAACUACAGGCACCAAGUUUGAACAUGGAAUUCAGCAGCGUGCUUUUACACUCAGUCUAAAUAUACAGUAAUGUAUUUAUAUUUAAUAAACAGAAAUGUAAAGUCUCUGAGUUUCUUUUUCAGGCCAACGUGUGUCACGUCGCUCAACAGAACGGUGUUCCAGAAGAGCAAAUGGUGGUGAUGAUGUACGAUGAUAUUGCAGAUAAUACAGAUUUCAAAGGACUACACUGGAAGGGAGGUCUCAGCUGAAAACUUUCUGGCUGUCCUGCGUGGAGAUUCGGUUGCUGUCAAGAAAACAGGAAGGAAAAAAGUCAUAGAAGGUAGAAACCUAAUCUUCAGCUUUACUCAUUAAAUUCCAUGUCUGAGUCAGGUGAUGUUCAUCCUGCAUUGUGAUUGGUCAGAACCCAAAGGUAUUGGUUGGUUUUGUAUAACAGCAGAAUUGUUCUGAUACGUUAUCAUUUGUAUAGUAACAGAAGGAGUCUCCAGUGUUAGAGAUUUGCACUGGUCAGAGGUCAGACACUGUCACAAAGUUUUCCAACAUUUUCCGUCAAAUUGCUUUCAUUGUUUGUGUCAUUAACUCAAAGAAAGAGAAGAAAGAGAGGAUGGUGAGGAUUUAGUUUUUAAUAGGUGCUUUAACGUACACCAGAACAGGACUGAGCAUGUUCUCAGGAUGUUCCCCAACGCUAAAUGUAACUAUUGAAGAAUUCAAAUGGACAAAA